rnacentral:misc_RNA from 1 species
UUUAGAGGAAGGAGAAGUCGUAACAAGGUUUCCGUAGGUGAACCUGCGGAAGGAUCAUUGUCGCAACCUGCACAAGCAGAACGACCCGCGAACUGUCGACACUGUAACUAGUAGAUCCAGUGGCUCUUGCAGCCCUCGAUCUAUUAACAAACACCGGCGCAGCUAUGCGCCAAGUAACAGAGAAUGGAAGGAACAACGCCUCUCGGUGUUGGUAUUCCGAAUUUAUGAACGACUCUCGGCAACGGAUAUCUCGGCUCUCGCAUCGAUGAAGAACGUAGCGAAAUGCGAUACUUGGUGUGAAUUGCAGAAUCCCGUGAACCAUCGAGUCUUUGAACGCAAGUUGCGCCCGAGGCCACUGGGUCGAGGGCACGUCUGCCUGGGCGUCGUGCGACGCGCCACACUCGACCCCAUGGACGAACCAUCGGGGAGGGGGUGGAAAUUGGCCUCCCGUGACCCGUGCACGGUUGGCUAAAAUGGUUGCCCCUGCAGGGCUUGGCGACGCGAUCAGCGGUGGUUAAUGAAAACCUCUUCUCCGUUAUCGGAUGACUCGAUCGCAUAGUCGGCCCCCAACGGGGAAAAACGAACCCUCGUCAGGAUUGUAUACCAUGCGACCCCAGGUCAGGCGGGGCCACCCGCUGAGUUUAAGCAU